rnacentral:rRNA from 1 species
UGGGGAAUCUUGCGCAAUGGACGAAAGUCUGACGCAGCGACGCCGCGUGGGUGAUGAAGGCCUUCGGGUUGUAAAGCCCUGUGGGGAGAGACGAAUAAGUAGAAGCUAAUACCUUCUAUGAUGACGGUAUCUCCUUAGCAAGCACCGGCUAACUCUGUGCCAGCAGCCGCGGUAAGACAGAGGGUGCAAACGUUGUUCGGAAUUACUGGGCGUAAAGCGUGUGUAGGCGGCCACGUAAGUCGGAUGUGAAAGCCCCAGGCUCAACCUGGGAAGUGCACUCGAUACUGCGUGGCUUGAGUAUCGGAGAGGUUGGUGGAAUUCUCGGUGUAGAGGUGAAAUUCGUAGAUAUCGAGAGGAACACCGGUGGCGAAGGCGGCCAACUGGACGAAUACUGACGCUGAGACACGAAAGCGUGGGGAGCAAACAGGAUUAGAUACCCGGGUAGUCC